ensembl:miRNA MIR30B microRNA 30b
UAAACCAAGUUUCAGUUCAUGUAAACAUCCUACACUCAGCUGUAAUAUAUGAAUUGGCUGGGAGGUGGGUGUUUACUUCAGCUGACUUGGAAUGU